rnacentral:lncRNA from 1 species
CACUCCCCCAGUUUCUGCCUGGUUCUCUUUAGGCUCAUCUGUCUGUCUAUCCUUCUGUUUACAGGGCCUCUUCUGGCUAUAUCUCUUUCCCUAUCUUUCCUCCCCUGUGUCUCAUGAGCUUCUAAGUCAGCUUUCCUAACCCACUGGACAGAGUUGGAAGUAGGGAUUUUGAGGGGAAGAAGGCAAAGGUGGGAAAAUUGCUCAUGCUCCACCUGUUCUCACUCCUUCCCUAUCCCUGAUAAUGUAGACACCUGGGAGCAGUUCCUGGGGGUUGGUCACAUGGGGAAUUGUCCUGCCUUGUCUGCUGGAAGAAGAUCCUGGGUUGUCUCUUACCCCAGUGACUCUGGGUCCCUCUAAGCUUAGGGAAGCAGCCUUAU